rnacentral:rRNA from 1 species
GACGAACGCUGGCGGCGUGCUUAACACAUGCAAGUCGAACGGAAAGGCCCUGCUUGCAGGGUACUCGAGUGGCGAACGGGUGAGUAACACGUGGGUGAUCUGCCCUGCACUUCGGGAUAAGCCUGGGAAACUGGGUCUAAUACCGGAUAGGAGCCAUUUUUAGUGUGAUGGUUGGAAAGUUUUUUCGGUGUAGGAUGAGCUCGCGGCCUAUCAGCUUGUUGGUGGGGUAAUGGCCUACCAAGGCGGCGACGGGUAGCCGGACUGAGAGGGUGGACGGCCACACUGGGACUGAGAUACGGCCCAGACUCCGACGGGAGGCAGCAGUGGGGAAUAUUGCACAAUGGGCGCAAGCCGGAUGCAGCGACGCCGCGUGGGGGAUGACGGCCUUCGGGUUGUAAACUCCUUUCGCUAGGGACGAAGCUUUUUGUGACGGUACCUAGAUAAGAAGCACCGGCUAACUACGUG